rnacentral:lncRNA from 1 species
AUAUUACAUAUUUAUUACCUUAGCUCGAAAGUAGGAAUCUUAUACAAGGGAUUACUACCAAUGCAAAUAAUUGUACUUAGUUAUGAUAAGUAUAAGUAAGUCUAUUAUGCACCACAAAUAAGUAUGCUAGACUAUAGUAGAUCUAGUUAGGUUGCAUAUACAUUACAAACAUUACGAUAAACUAUAAUAGGUAUAGUUUAUGUUACAUUACAUUUUGAGCUCAUUACAAGAGGUUUUCGUUACAUAUAAAUGGGGUACGAAUACAAAGUACCAGGUUUUCACGUUAAGCAAGGUACGGCCAUAUGGUACCAGGUUAUACAUUAAGCGAGGUACGGCCAUACAUCACCGGGUUUUCACAAAAGGGGUACAAAUACAAAGUACCGGGUUUUCAUAAAAUGGUUUUUAUGAUAUUAAAACUACGUUAUUAGGUUGCAAAUACAUUACAAACAAUAAGAUAGACUAUAAUAGGUAUAGUUUAUGUUUCAUCUACACUACAAACUUAUUACAAGAAGGGAUUUCACUAUCACCACCACUUUUGAUAAGCUAUAAUAUGCAUAGUUCAUGUUCACUACCAUUAUCGCUAUUUGAUGAACUAUGAUAUGUAUAGUUUAUGCUCACCAUCACCAUCACAUUUGAUACACUAUAAUAUGCAUAGUUCAUGUUCACUACCACUAUCACUAUUCGAUGAACUAUGAUAUGUAUAGUUUAUGUUCACAGCCACUACUACUAUUUCAUACACUACACUAGGAUUUGGUUUCGGCCUUUGGUUUUAAGACUAGAUUCUAUCUAGAAUUGUUAGUUUUCAGCUAUAAUUUCUAAGUGUAUAUGCUAGAGUUAUAUAAAAUUUAGUCGUGAUCGACUUAGAAUUGGUGGGUCCGCUUUAUUUCAUGUUCCUUGUUUGGUUGUGGGACUAGGGCAGACCCAUUACAUUCGACAGUUUAUUUAAAUUUAAUUUUAUAUAACUUAUAUACACUUGGAGAUUAUGGAAGGAAAUUAUUGGGAAUUCUAGGAUGCACAAUUUCAUAACACGGAAACUUACAAAUCAAUUUUCAAGGAAAAUAUUGGAUUUUUCUGGAAUCCCUUUUACUGCUUUUACAAGGAAAAUAGUUUAUUUAUCAAUUAAAACUCUUAUGAACUCACCAACCUUUGUGUUGACACUUUUUCAAACAACUUGUAUUCUCAGGAAAUCACUAAACAGGUAAUCAACUGCUUUCGAGGACGGGACGCUAAGGCGUUAAAUUCAAAACUUAUUUUGUCAUCAUGAUGUAAUUGAUUUUGAAACAUGUAAACUUACUCUAUGAUGUAACUCUUUCAAUUAUAUCGAUGAUGGUUGUGUUUGCUUUCUUCACUAUUAUACUCGUUGUUAUGAUACUAUACAUGAAGUCAUCAACCCCUGAACGUUUCCGCCGUUCUGGUUUGGGGGUGUGACAGAUUGGUAUCAGAGUAUUGUUUUAGUGAACUAAUUAUAUCGAACCAUAUAAGAUAUACAAACUAUAAAUACACUGGGACUGAAAGUCUCUGAUCUAACAUUUUCCAAAUAACUAUACUUUUAGAAUCAAAUAGUUUCUCAUUAAAAAGUAUGAGCACAUGCAUACACACUAGGGUCAGUAUCAUGGUGGGAUGGGACAAAAGUGGUGAUUGUUGAACAGUACGAGUAGGCUUGGGGAUGUAUAGUUAGGUCUAGGAAUGACAUAGCCUGAUCAACUAUGUCUCACCCAGAAGUGAUUAGCAAAUGCCCAUAGAUGGUCGUGGUGUUGCAACAAGUCAAAAAAAAAACUUACCAACUCUAUCUACAAAGAAACAUCGAGAACAUAAGACAAACAUUUAAAAUACUAUAGGAGUAUUUUGUGGAACUAUAACUAACUUAUGUGAAAACUAAAGACCCCUAUCAGUAGGUCUAAAAUGACUAAGUGCAUACGUUAAGGUUAUACAUAAUCAAAUAUAUUAUAGACUCAGAAUCUAUGACUAUUGCUCUACUUCCUGUUCCUUGUUUGGUUGUGGAUUUAGAGUAGAGUCAUUUAUUCGAAGGUCUAUUUUAUCUCAUAUUAUGUAUAAUUGGUAUGCACUAUGUGAUUAUAGAUGUGACUAAUGAGGAUCACCCCCUAUAAGUAGUUGUAGGAUUAGACGUCUAAUAACCAUCUCAUCUACCCCUAUUCUCGCACUAACAACAUGACAAGAGCUCAACUACCAGGAGACCCCUAUUUACCUAACCGGGAAAAUGGUGAUUAGAAUGGAGAAAAUCCUGAAGAGGAUCCUGAAGAAAUAACGGAGGAAGACCCCAAAGAUAGUUAAAAGAGGAAUGAGAGGAAGAGAAACCAAAGUAAAACAAAGAAAAGAAUAAAUAGGAGAAGAUUUUGACAAGGAGUCGAGGUCUACAAUAUACCCUCCAGACUCCACGUCUCGACGAGAUUUCCAUGGUCCGACACCUCGAUAAGUCGUAGAUUUAAAGAUAUGGAAUCUGAGGCAAGGAAUCACCCUCCCUACAGUAUGGAAAGAGGUUUCUACAACCUCAAUAAAGGACGAUUAGUAGACAAGGCCCUCUUUGUCAUAGUAUAUCGCAUCGCUCACCGAAGGAUACAAACACGAGCACCAGACAACUGAAUCAGAAAGGGUACCACUAUCACCGAGAUCACCGCAAGGCGCCUUUGUCACCUAGAUAGAGGACAUGACAGGCCAGGAACCACAUCAAGGGCUGUAGAUAGAAGUAACCACAACUUGAGCCAAGAAUCACAGAGUAAUGGGAACGUCAAACAAGCAUUAGAUAAAAUGCGUGAUGAAAGCAGAACAUCAAAUAACAGAAGUCAGGGUGGAGGUUAGGGCAAUGCGGACUUUCAUGAUCCACAAAGCAUCACCAGCCACAAGUAGGGUGUACGCCACUGAUAUAUCGGUAUAGAAUUGGACUACUAGCAUGCGUCUAACGACUACCCUUAUAUAUGUAUAGAGUCAUUCGAAUCCUUCAAAAUCUAGAGACUAUACUAUUCAAGGGAAUCGUGGCACUGUCAAAAUUUUUCCUUACAUUAAUGUGAUGUAGACCUAUUAUAAGGUCAAGUUUUCCCGAACCCUAUACACUAAAUUUUAUUAAAGAAAUUGGCACGUAUUAAAAUUCAUUGGGAAUUUUCCGCGUAUUCCAUAACUCAGCAUUACAAACAACUUGCUUAUAGUAACCCUAAGAUUACUUAAUGUAUACCUCAAAGUUAGGUGUAAUUAAGAAAUGAUCGGCUUAGAAAUGGUGAGUCUGCCUUGGGUCCUGUUCCUUGUUUGGUUGUGGACCUAGGGCAGAAUCGUUAAGUUCGACGGCCUAUUGGACCUUAAUUACACACAACUGGUAUAUGCCAAGCGAUUUUUGGAGUGGAACAGGCAUGGAACAAAUCACUAGAUUUCAUUCGAGACACUAUCACUAAAUUCAUAAGUUAAUUUAGAUGAACUUUCGUUAUGAAUUGCAUACAAGAUACUUUUAAGUCGGAAUAUAAUACGGAAAAACUUAGUACAAUAACAUCCGACUUGUCACUACUAUUAGAGACUUACCGUCUGUUCGUCUUUUCAAACUUAUGACAGAGCUAUGCCGCCAAAGAAAAAGUCCUGACCUUCCAGUAGCGCAACACCACCACCACAUCCACCACCACCUCCACAGUUUGAUCCUGCAAUGUUCCAAGCUGCCGUAACCGCAGCCGUAGCUGCGACAAUGUCGCAAAUUGGUACGAAUGGUACCGGUGGUGCUGGAUCUGGUGCCACAAACUCUAACCAUGGGGACAGUAUGGGGUGUAUGAGGGAAUUUUCCUAUAAGGACUUCAUCAAUAGAAAACCGGAUCCUUUCAAUGGAAGCGGGGGCGUUAUCACUUUGAUACAAUGGUUCGAGAAGACAGAAUCAGUCUUCGAGGUCUGUGCAUUUCCCGAAGCAAGCAAGGUCAAAUUUGCAGCUUUCACUUUCUCUGACCGAGCCCUUACUUGGUGGAAAAGCCACGUUAAGUCACUGACGCUUGCAGUGGCUAACUCGUUAAGCUGGGAAGACUUAAAGACGCUGAUGCUAAAAGAGUAGUGCCCAAGGGACGAAGUACAAAAACUAGAGCAAGACUUGUGGAAUCUCAAGAUGACAGGCUCGGACCUUGCAACUUGCACUGACCGAUUCUAUGAUCUAGCACUCCUUUGUCCCGCAAUGGUCACUCCUGAGGAAAAGAAGGUGGAACGAUACCUCUGGGGAUUGUCUCCCCAAAUUUAAGAUAGCGUGUUGGCUUCAAGACCAACUACCUUUGGCAGUGCCAAGGAAUUGGCACAACAACUCAUCGACCAUAGGGCCAGCCAUGGCAUUAUGACAACCAUCCCUAAGCUAGAUGGCCAAGGAAACAAUAAAAGAAAGUCUUGGGACAACGAGAAGAAUCGAUCGGCCCAAGACCUCACCAAUAAGCAACAUAUCGUCGUUGUUCAUGUUGUCACCACCCAUGCCACUCCCACAUCCAUAAAUCGAUACACUCGAACCCUUCCGAAAUGUAACAAGUGUAGCUUCCAUGACACUGGGGCUUACAGGGAAUUGCAUUGCAUGAAUUGCAACAGAAAGGGACACACUGCCUGUUUCUGUAAGGCACCGGUACGACCCAUCAACCAGUUCCCCGCGGUAGAGCAAGCCCAACUUGUUACGAGUAUAGUGAAACAGGACACUUUAAGAGAGACAGUCCAAGGAUAAGGAAUGUUGGUAACGGUGGAAGGGUACUUAUGAUCACUGCAGGAGAAACUUCCCCAGAAACCACCCAUGAAUAAUGGUACGCGCUCCUGACCACCACAUGUAGGAUUUAAAUUUUACUAACUAGGGUCAAUUUAGGGUCUAUCAACCAUAAAUCUCGCGAACACGAUGAACCUGAAUAAGUCUUUGUAGUGACAAAAAAACAUGGUUUGGCAUGCGGAAUUAAAGCUUGCACAAUUGAACAUGGUGAUUUGGGUGUUUAAGAGAUAUAUUGAAUGUAUAUGGUGUUACAAAAAAUGACUAGAUCUAGACUACAUAAAUAACACACACUUACACACUCACUUUUACAUCUCUCAAGCACACAUCUACAAGUGGACAAACCCACCUUAUAUAGAGGUGUUUACAUGUUUCUCUCUCACUCUCUAUCUCUCAUGUAUCAAAAGGCUGAUACUCCACAUGUAAGUGGGUCUACACAAGUCAAACAUUUACAAAGUCAUGAAUGAAUAACUUUACACCCCAACAUUCUCCCCCUCAAAGUUAGGAAUGAAUGACCCACUUCAAAUCUUCCAAAAUCAAGCACUACGCGGUUCGAGCCUCAAAGGUGACACAUGUCGAAACGAACUUCAAUCUUCAAUUCUUCCAUGACUCUUCAAUUUGGGCUCUAGGAUGUGAGACCAUACAAACCAAGCAGCAACGAAUGAUUAAUUCCAAAUAAUCACCCAAAAGUUGCGCAUAAAAACACACCCCAAAAAUCUUCAAUAAACCAAACCCAUUUCGAAUACAUCACUUCCGAACUUCCAAUUGCAUCAUCUCGUGAGCUUUAAAACUUCAAGAUCACUUCGGUCUUCAAAUCCGCGUAAUAUGAAAAAUUCAAGUUCGAAUUUCCAUAUAAAACUUCUCCCCCUUUUUAUAAUCGAAAUUUGAUUAUAAAACUCCAAAGGAAAAAGAACGUGCUCUAUUUGGAAUUUUUCAUGUCAAAACUCCCCCUUAACAUGUGGCAUAAACAUUGUGCUUCAAUCCGAAAAAUCCAAAAAAUAUUAAAUUUUUAGCUUCGUUCACGGAUCGCCUUUGACAAAAUUUCUCAAAAAUGGGUGGAAAUCGUCAAUUUCAAAAUUCUGCAGUGACUCGUUGCGCCAAAAAUAGCCAAAUAUGCGAAACACACCCCCAUUUGCGAAACUGGGUAAAAUGUGUAAAUUCGCACAAACUGCAGGGACCAGAUUUGAAAAUUCUGCAAUUUCAGCAUUUUAUGACCCCAUUUGCGAAGUUGGGUAUAGACUGUCAAAAAUGCGAAACUAUAAGUACUCGUAUUGACAAUUUCUGCAUGUUCUUCAAAUUUGCGAAGUUGGACAACUUGUGUUAUUUCUUGAAAAGAGCAGGGACCAAAUGCGUGUGUUUCUUCCCCAAUUCGCAUUUUACUGUAAAAGCUUUCACAUGCUUCACAUAUUCAUUCUUACACCCUUCGCAUCCCUUCGCAUGUUUCACUCACCAAAUGCGAAUCAUUAAUAAGAUGAAUUCGCAUUUUGACUCCAAAACAAAACUCCAAAUGCGAAUGAAACUUCCCAGUAAUCAUAUGCGAACUCAUCAAGAUCAAAUGCAAUCUUUGAUUUUAUUUGCGAUUCCAAGUAAGUUCUUUAACCAAAUAAACAAAUAUGCAAACUGUCUUUGAUCUCAUAUGCGAACUCGUCUUUGAUAAAAAAAAUUAUUAUUUGCAUUUUAUCGAUCAAACGUGUGAACUGUAUUCAAUAUGCGAAAUCGAUUUUAAUCAGCCCUCUUCCCAAAUCAUCGAUCACUGUGGAACCAUUCGCACAUCAAGCCUUCGUUAUUAAGAACAAUCGAUUGAUUCCAAUCAUGCGAACAUUAUUCCUCAAUUCCAAAAUCGACUCCAAGAUCUUUUAUCAGUUCAUCCUUAAUCAAUCGAUAUCCCAAAAUCAAAACAAAUUCAACUUUGUGAUUCAAAAUGUUGGCAAACUUUCGUUUUUGAAUCAACGUCUCAGCAAUGAACUCAAAAUCGAAAAUCAAUUCAUUGAUUCCAAAAUCAAAUUCUUCAUACAUCAACCUGUUAGUUCCUGGACAUUUGUACCCUCGACCAUCGUCUUCAACUUUUCGUGAAUUCCGAUUCCAAGAACCUUCGUUCUUUCUCAAUCGAUUUUUCAAGAACACUAAUCUAGCGAACUAGCGACUAACACCAAAAUCCUUUUUCUCAAAUCGAUUUUUGGAUUAAACUCACUAAUUCAACAAAUUCACCCUGUUCGUUCAUCAGUUCUUGAAACAUCUCGACUGAUAAACUCAAUAAUCAAAAUCGAUAUCGAUCAAAAUCAACAAUUUCCGAGUUUAAUCAAAUUCUUCAAAUCAAGAAUCAUUAACUUGUCGUUCUGAUUUAACGAAUAACUUGAUCAUUAUCGAUUUUUGUAUUCAAACAUAUCGAUUCACAAGUUCAUCACAAAAAAUCGAAACUCAUCAAUUAUAAGAACAGAUAAAAUGAAAACGAAGAUCAAGAACAAGAUUAACAGUAAUGUUGAUUGCGACUUCCGAGCUUCAAAUAUAUGUUGAUAAACAUAUACAAAUCAACAGAUUUUGAUGAAUAAAUGGGAUCGAUUAUGAGAAUUGUAUCGGAUCUAUUCAUUUGGGCUUAAACAAGAUUAUGAACAGUAAGUUGCAUUUUGAUUGGGCUUUCAUUCGAGCAGUAUGAAUAGUAACUUAAAUAUUGAUUUUGGGCUUUAAAAUCGGAUCAUAUGAACAGUAAUGAAUUAGCGAUUCAAGAAAUUUGAUCUGAAUUUUGAUCUUAAAACUCAAUUCAAACAAACACUUGUAAUUUGAGAAUCAAUUAGAACAAAAGAAUAUGAGAUUGGAUCGGGCUUUGAUCCACAAAAAAUUAUUGGAUCACAACAAAUGGGUUUUUCAACAAAAAAUUAGAUCCAACGAGUCAAAUGAUCAUGAAUCAAGAACGCAAUGCACGAAUUCAAUGAAAUUAAGAGAGAUCAUAGAGAGAGACUCACCAAAAUUGUUCAAGUUGCGACAAAAAUUGCCAAACCGAGAAUCGUUCUUCAAAAAUCACCUUGAUCUUGAAGACCCGCUCUGAUACCAAUUGUAGUGACAAAAAACAUGGUUUGGCAUGCGGAAUUAAAGCUUGCACAAUUGAACAUGGUGAUUUGGGUGUUUAAGAGAUAUAUUGAAUGUAUAUGGUGUUACAAAAAAGGACUAGAUCUAGACUACAUAAAUAACACACACUUACACACUCACUUUUACAUCUCUCAAGCACACCUCUACAAGUGGACAAACCCACCUUAUAUAGAGGUGUUUACAUGUCUCUCUUUCACUCUCUAUCUCUCAUGUAUCAAAAGGCUAAUACUCCACAUGCAAGUGGGUCUACACAAGUCAAACAUUUACAAAGUCAUGAAUGAAUAACUUUGCACCCCAAUAGUCUUAUCACGUAUAUAUAAAAACAUAGGGUUUUUACUUUUGAAUCUACGAUGGCUAGUAUAAAUGUUAUGGCCAUAUAUCAUUAAGAUUAUAUGGACUUAGAAUGUAUAAUUCCGCCUUACUUCAUGUUCCUUGUUUGGUUGUAGGUUUAAGGCGGAGUCACUCAUUCGACUCCCUUGCAAUCUUAAUGAUAUACGACUAGUUUACACCAAGCGAUUAUAAACAAACUGGUAGGACUUGUGCUACAAAUUUUGUCAUAAAAAUUAGCCGGAGCACUCGUCCGACUAGUACUCACUAACUACAGCAUUAAACAUUCAUAGUAGUAAUUACGAGAAUAAAACUGAGAGUAUGAAGCGUACCUAGAAUACACUAUCAUUCCAGAACAAUCACUCCUCUAAAUCGACUUAGCUCUAAUUACACUAAGAAAUUCCAAGGUCUACACUUAACAUAAGAUGGAUUGGUCCCUGCCAUAUUAAUUUCUUGUACUCCGAAAAGUACACACCUCUUUCCCCAAAAUUCUUGAAGUCCCAGUCAAAACACUAAUUUCGGGACGAAAUUCCUUCUAACGGGGGGAUGAUGUGGCAAUCGUCAAAUUCCGGUCAAGUCAAAGUCAAAUGAAGUCAACAAGUCAAUCUGGUCAACUCAAUUAACCUGUGUAUAUUAGGGUUUACAUUAUGUGAUCACUGGACAAUUCACUAUUCUAAUGAGAAAACAUCAUUUGGAAAUUUCGUAUGUUUGAAUUUCCUUAGCCUUAAUAGUGCGAGACAAUCAACCAAAGCGAUAAAACACUAUUGCACACUCAUCGGGAGUGUGUAGGACACUAAAACAUGGCUUAACGGAGUUUACGGACCUUGCGUUGCGAAGCCGAACACUUAAAAAAAAAAGAAGGUCAUAAAUGGAACCUCUCUAAAUCUCUUUCACUCUACCUCUCUCUAUUUGAAAUCUCUCUCAAAAGUACCCGUAACUUUUUGAAAACAUUCGGGUCAUCCUGACCCUUAACCGGGUCAAAAACCACUAAAAAAGAGGAGAUAUCUUGGAAAAUAGCCCCUUAGGGCCGAAGCCUCUCUAUAGGGGCCAAGUCCUCCUAGAGCAGAGGCCACAAGAACCGAGACCGAGGCCCCCUUGAGUAGCCACAGCCACCGAGCCAAAGCCUCUGAGCCGCAGCCAUCUAGCCGCAGCCACCAAACCCGAAACCAAGCCCCGCAUCUGAGCCUCGCCUUCGGACCGUAGUCCCUUUCUCUUCGGACCGCAGUCCCCUUCCCCUCGGACCGCAACCAGCAACCAAGCCACUCCGGUGCUUAGGCUGCUGAGACCGAACCCUUGCCCAUACUUUGGAUUUUUCCAUCCUUUUACCCGGUUUUCGACCACGACUCCGUUUUAAGCCCAUGUUUAAUUAUUUUAAUAUGGGAUUUUCACCCAAACUUAUAUUUUGACAUAUAAGGUUCCAAAUAUUCAUAAAUUCAACAUAUUUUUAAGGAAAUCCUUAUUUAAAAAUAAAAUACAUUAAACAAGAUUUUGUGGUGGAGUGUUGACUCUUCCAUAAGGUUUGACACAAGCAACCACCCCCAUACCCACUCCAUGANNNNNNNNNNNNNNNNNNNNNNNNNNNNNNNNNNNNNNNNNNNNNNNNNNNNNNNNNNNNNNNNNNNNNNNNNNNNNNUCCAGCCAUACGUCCAAAGAGCUGAAAGACUCCCUCCCUCCCUCUCUCUCUCUCUCUCUCUCUCUCUCUCUCUCUCUCUUUCUUCAUUUCACUCACUUCACUCAUCUCCACUAAAGAUCAACACACCUUUUUUCUCUCUAAUUAUCUCACCCAAAUUCGAGAUUUCCAGGGCAUUUUCAACCUUUCCUCCUGUAUUUGGUAAGUAUCAUCACCCUCCUUAUGGUUAUUACAUUUCCUUUUAUUCAAAUCAUUGAUUCCUUACACAAACUCCAUCAAUAAGGUGUUAGACUCUCGAAUCUUCAAGCAAUCCUCCAAGUGUUCUUGAGUUGAACACUUCUCUCAUUCAACAUCCAUCCAUUGAAAUCACACAAGGUGAGUUCAUACCCCUAUAUUUUCAUGCUUUCUUAAGUUUUAGGGGGGGGGACAAGUUAAAACACCAAGAACACAACUAAAUUCUUCUAACAGCUUUCAUCAGAAAAGUUGGACUCCAUUCACGGACUGUUUUGGUCAACUUAAACAUUUUAGUUUUCAAAACUGUACUACGUGCAAGUAGUUCUAGUUCUUAGCUUUAANAGUUCUUAGCUCUAAAAUGGCUACUUGCACAUCUCCAGAAGAUUUUUCUACAAUUUAUGGUGAUUUUUACAAAACUGUCUAUCAUUCAAGAACCAAUCCGGACCAGUAUGUGAUUAUGGACUUUUUUACACAUGUUGGAAAUCACUAAAAAUCAUGGGAAAAUUUAUGAAAAAACUAGACUCAAUUUCCAAACUCUCAGAAUUUACGAAUUUUGAUUUGGACCUUUGAUGAUUUUUCUACAAAUUUUCUAAGAACAGUAACAGAAAACGUUAACAACAGAAAAAUGCUAUCAAUUUCAUUUCACCUUGUAACAUGUUGAGCAAGGUGUAUAUCUUCAUGUGAUGAUAUGUUAUUACCAUAUAUGUCAUUUUGUCUUGUUAUAUAGACAUACAUCAGAAAACAAAUGGAUUUUCACUAUAAUAAGUAUGGUGAAAUAAUAAAUUGUCAUAAACAAAGUUUACGUCCAUCACAUACAAACAUUCGGAAAUCUAUGACAAGUAAAGUACUAAUUGAAAUACAUGUGGUUGAUAUUACAUAUUCUAUACCUUAGCUCGAAAGUAGGAAUCUUAUACAAGGGCUUACUACCAAUACAAAUAAUUAUACUUAGUUAUGAUAAGUAUAAGUAAGUCUAUUAUGCACCACAAAUAAGUAUGCUAGACUAUAAUAGAUCUAGUUAGGUUGCAUAUACAUUACAAACAUUAUGAUAAACUAUAAUAGGUAUAGUUUAUGUUACAUUACAUUUUGAGCUCAUUACAAGAGGUUUUCAUUACAUAUAAAUGGGGUACGAAUACAAAGUACCAGGUUUUCACGUUAAGCGAGGUACGACCAUACGAUACCAGGUUAUACAUUAAGCAAGGUACGAC